rnacentral:rRNA from 1 species
UACGUAGGGGGCAAGCGUUGUCCGGAUUAUUGGGCGUAAAGCGCGUGUAGGCGGCCCGGAAGUCUGUGUGAAACCUGGGCUCAACCCAGGCGGUCGCUGGAACUAUGUCGGGCUUGAGUCCGGAAGAGGAGAGUGGAAUUCCGUGGUGUACGGUGAAAUGCGCAGAUAUCGAAGGAAGAACCAGCCUAAGUGGCGAAGGCAGCGUCGUCUGGGACGGUACUGA